rnacentral:rRNA from 1 species
UGGGGAAUAUUGGACAAUGGGGGCAACCCUGAUCCAGCCAUGCCGCGUGUGUGAAGAAGGCCUUCGGGUUGUAAAGCACUUUCAGUGGUGAGGAAGGCUUGCAAGUUAAUAGCUUGCGAGAUUGACGUUAGCCACAGAAGAAGCACCGGCUAACUCCGUGCCAGCAGCCGCGGUAAUACGGAGGGUGCGAGCGUUAAUCGGAAUUACUGGGCGUAAAGCGCACGUAGGCGGUUUGUUAAGCAAGAUGUGAAAGCCCCGGGCUCAACCUGGGAAUUGCAUUUUGAACUGGCAGGCUAGAGUUUUGAAGAGGGUGGUAGAAUUUCCUGUGUAGCGGUGAAAUGCGUAGAUAUAGGAAGGAAUACCAGUGGCGAAGGCGGCCACCUGGUCAAAAACUGACGCUGAGGAGCGAAAGCGUGGGGAGCAAACAGGAUUAGAUACCCUGGUAGUCCACGCUGUAAACGAUGUCAACUAGUUGUUCGUUUCAUAAAUGAAGUGAGUAACGCAGCUAACGCACUAAGUUGACCGCCUGGGGAGUACGGCCGCAAGGUUA